rnacentral:rRNA from 1 species
UACUCCCGCCGGCGACCGGCGCACGGGUGAGUAACACGUAUGAAACCUGCCCGUAGCAGGGGGAUAAGCGGAAGAAAUUCCGUCUAAUACCGCGUAACAACCCGAGGAGGCAUCUCCUCGGGUUUAAAGGAGGCGAUUCCGGCUACGGAUGGUCAUGCGUCGCAUUAGCUAGUUGGCGGGGUAACGGCCCACCAAGGCGACGAUGCGUAGGGGUUCUGAGAGGAAGGUCCCCCACACUAGUACUGAGACACGGACCAGACUCCUACGGAAGGCAGCAG